AACCAGCACCUCAAGUGGUCAGGAUGAUUAUUGGGCCUAAAGCAUCCGUAGCCGGCUCUGUUAGUUUUCGGUUAAAUCUAUGUGCUCAACGCAUGGGCUGCCGAAAAUACUGCAGAGCUAGGGAGUGGGAGAGGUAGACGGUACUCAGUAGGAAGGGGUAAAACCCUUUGAUCUAUUGAUGACCACCUGUGGCGAAGGCGGUCUACCAGAACACGUUCGACGGUGAGGGAUGAAAGCUGGGGGAGCAAACCGG
rnacentral:rRNA from 1 species